AGAGUUUGAUCCUGGCUCAGGACGAACGCUGGCGGCGUGCCUAAUACAUGCAAGUCGAACGCACUGAUGGAGAACUUGUUCUCUUGACGUGAGUGGCGCACGGGUGAGUAACACGUGGGAAACCUACCCUUCAGCGGGGGAUAACCAUCGGAAACGAUGACUAAUACCGCAUAGACGACAGAACCGCCCGGUUCAAUCGGGAAAGACGGCUUCGGCUGUCACUGAAGGAUGGUCCCGCGCUGCAUUAGCUAGUUGGUAAGGUAACGGCUUACCAAGGCGAUGAUGCAUAGCCGACCUGAGAGGGUGAUCGGCCACAUUGGGACUGAGACACGGCCCAAACUCCUACGGGAGGCAGCAGUAGGGAAUCUUCCGCAAUGGACGCAAGUCUGACGGAGCAACGCCGCGUGUGUGAAGAAGGUUUUCGGAUCGUAAAGCACUGUUAUUAGAGAAGAACAGCCGAUAGAGUAACUGUUAUCGGUUUGACGGUAUCUAACCAGAAAGUGACGGCUAACUACGUGCCAGCAGCCGCGGUAAUACGUAGGUCACAAGCGUUGUCCGGAUUUAUUGGGCGUAAAGGGAGCGCAGGCGGUUUGUUAAGUCUGAUGUGAAAGCCCACGGCUCAACCGUGGAACGGCAUUGGAAACUGGCAAACUUGAGUAUAGAAGAGGAAAGUGGAAUUCCAUGUGUAGCGGUGAAAUGCGUAGAUAUAUGGAGGAACACCAGUGGCGAAGGCGACUUUCUGGUCUAUAACUGACGCUGAGGCUCGAAAGCGUGGGGAGCGAACAGGAUUAGAUACCCUGGUAGUCCACGCCGUAAACGAUGAGUGUUAAGUGUUGGGGGGCUUCCACCCCUCAGUGCUGGCGUUAACGCAAUAAACACUCCGCCUGGGG
rnacentral:rRNA from 1 species